UACGUAGGGGGCAAGCGUUGUCCGGAUUUAUUGGGCGUAAAGAGCGUGUAGGCGGUUUGGUAGGUCCGCUGUGAAAACUCGAGCUCAACCUCGAGACGCCGGUGGAAACCAUCAGACUAGAAGUCCGGAAGAGGAGAGUGGAAUUCCGUGGUGUAGCGGUGAAAUGCGCAGAUAUCGGGAGGAACACCUGUGGCGAAAGCGGCUCACUGGACCACAACUGACGCUGAGCGCGAAAGCUAGGGAGCAAGCAGG
rnacentral:rRNA from 1 species